GAAAUCGUGGAAAAGGAAGUACAUCAUAUUUAUCGGCAAAUAUUUGUAACGAAUUUAUUAAUUUAAUAGGACAGCAAGUUAUGAAAACCAUUGUCAAAGAACUUAAAUCAGCAAAGUACAAAACUAUUAGCGUAGAUUCUACGCCAGAUCUGUCUCACGUCGACCAACUGACUUUCAUAGUAAGAUACGUAAAAGACGGACAGCCUAUUGAGAGUUUUUUGCAAUUUUUGCUUAUGGAUGAACAUAAUGCGCAAUAUAUAGCAGAUAUAAUUUUGAACUUUUUUGAAAACCUUGAUAUUCCUAUAAAAGAUUGUCGCGGGCAGAGCUACUACAAUGCAUCAAAUAUGCCUGGAAAUGGGUGUUCAGGCUGUUGAAUGUGUUAUUGAAGCAGUAACAUUCUUUCAAUUUCUACAAAAAUUGUUCAAUUUUUUCUCGGCUUCGACAAAACGAUGGAAAAUUUUGACAGAGCAUUUAAGUAUUUGCAUAGAGUACUGAAGUUUCUUUCGGAAACGAAAUGGUCUGCACGCGCCAAUGCUCUUAAUGCUUUGCAAAAUGGUUAUUUAAAUAUUUCUGAAGCAUUGUCUUCAAUCGCAAGUGACAUCAAUGAACCAGGAGACACUAGAAAGGAAGCCCAAAGCCUAGCAAACAAUGGGAAAAUUUGAGACUGUUCUUCUAACGGAAAUAUGGAAUGAUCUUGUUAUAUAUAAAACAAGUCUAAGUUUACAGAAUACCAAUAUGACCAUGGACGUUGUAACGAAACUUUACGAAUCUCUGAUCAGUUAUGUCAAUUCCGCACGCAAUAAUUUUGAUCAGUAUGUGGCGUCACGAAGCGACUGCUAAAGAAAAAAUCCAUAUGUUGACUACAAAGAUACAUUUGAAAGAAAAAGAUCUCGCAGCACACACAUCACUUUUUUUCGAAGGAUCAUCAAAGGCUGCACAGUCAAGAGGCAAGGAAAUGUUUCGUGUAGAUACUUUCAUUCCCAUAAUUGACACAUUAAAUACACAACUAAAAAAAUGUUCGGCAGCAUACCAAGAAAUUGAUAGUUGAUUUAGUUGUCUAUGUCAGUUAACAACAAUCGAAUCUGAUGAGUUGACCAAAAAUGCAAAGAAUUUGCAAAAUUUUAUCAUGAAGACAUUAAUGUAGAUGUGCCCAAAACAGAAUGUAUUCAUUUAAGCCAAUAUUUAAAAAACAUAGCAAAGCAAUCAGCGGAUUUAAAUAUCUCAACCUUACAUAACCUAAAAAUUUCAAAUAAAUUGAAAGAAACUUUUCCAAACGUAGAAAUUGCUACAAGAAUAUUCCUUUGCCUAAUGGUUACCAAUUGUAGUGGAGAACGGUCAUUUUCGCACCUCAAGAGAAUAAAAAAUGAUUUGCGAACAACAAUGUUACAAGAACGACUGAGCAAUUUGUCAAUUAUGUGCAUAAAAAUUGAUAUCCUUCAAAAAAUUGACUUUAAGGAUAUAAUAUAAGAUUUUGCUCAACCGAAAUCCCGAAAGAAUCCGCUAUCGUAAUCGUAACAAAAAAAAAAACAACAGCGUUCUAAUAUCAUAAUUGACAUAUUAUAUCAUACUGUAUUUGAUAAUAAGAAUAAUAGCUGUAUUUGAUUACCUUUAAUAAAUGAUCAUACUUAGUAAAAAAAUA